ACAUGGUUUUUAAUGAGGGUUUACUCUGGAUUAUGACUUACACAGCUGGGGCCUUCUGAUGAAAGUUCAUGGUAGCAUUAUGCCAGGCGAUAUGCAAAAAAGAUUAGUGGGCCGAAAGGUGACCGUUAGCAUAUUUUUAGUGCAAAAAUCCUUUUUUGAUUAGUAUGUCAUUAUGUUUUCCAGUAAAAUAUCUUUAGAUAUCACAAAAACACUUUCACAUUUCACACUUGAAAUUUUUCAUUUCAAAUAAAUGUGGUGCUUUUGAUCUUUCUGUUCAUUUUUAAAUUUAUUAGGAUUUCCGAAGGGUCAUGUGACAUUGAAGACGUCAGUGGAGUAAUGGCUGCUGAAAAUUCAGCUUUUCCAUCAGUGGAAUAAAUUCCCAUCUAACAAAAAUAUGUUGUGCUAAACGAGAACAGAAGAUGCCUGGGAAACAAAUAGACGUGAGCUAGAAAUAGCAGAGAAAUCCAGCCGAAGAAAGCAUAGUCAAGCAUAUUUUUCACUCACACUGCUGACAAGACAUCAGGAAGAUUGUAAAAAAAUGACAACAAACUUGAAGAAAAGGCUUGCUGCGCUCGCAUUUAUCAAACACAAGCCCUGUCUUACACUGUGUGACAUUCAAAUAGGGACACACAACUCAUGUCCUUAGUCAUUCUGACUCUGUAAUAAAUGCAACUGCUAUAAUUGCA
ensembl:lncRNA